rnacentral:rRNA from 1 species
CCUACGGGCGGCAGCAGUGGGGAAUAUUGGACAAUGGGCGAAAGCCUGAUCCAGCCAUGCCGCGUGUGUGAAGAAGGCCUUCGGGUUGUAAAGCACUUUCAGUGGGGAAGAAAGCCUUGGGGCUAAUACCCUCGAGGAAGGACAUCACCCACAGAAGAAGCACCGGCUAACUCCGUGCCAACAGCCGCGGUAAUACGGAGGGUGCGAGCGUUAAUCGGAAUUACUGGGCGUAAAGCGCGCGUAGGCGGUCUGAUAAGCCGGUUGUGAAAGCCCCGGGCUCAACCUGGGAACGGCAUCCGGAACUGUCAGGCUAGAGUGCAGGAGAGGAAGGUAGAAUUCCCGGUGUAGCGGUGAAAUGCGUAGAGAUCGGGAGGAAUACCAGUGGCGAAGGCGGCCUUCUGGACUGACACUGACGCUGAGGUGCGAAAGCGUGGGUAGCAAACAGGAUUAGAUACCCUAGUAGUC